UGACUGGUUCUGGGCUUGGUGGAUUAUGGU
rnacentral:piRNA from 1 species